rnacentral:rRNA from 1 species
CCUACGAGAGGCAGCAGUGAGGAAUAUUGGUCAAUGGCCGGAAGGCUGAACCAGCCAAGUAGCGUGAAGGAUGACUGCCCUACGGGUUGUAAACUUCUUUUAUAAAGGAAUAAAGUGAGGCACGUGUACCUUUUUGUAUGUACUUUAUGAAUAAGGAUCGGCUAACUCCGUGCCAGCAGCCGCGGUAAUACGGAGGGUCCUGGCGUUAUCCGGAUUUAUUGGGUUUAAAGGGAGCGUAGAUGGGUUGUUAAGUCAGUUGUGAAAGUUUGAGGCUCAACCGGAAAAUUGCAAUUGAUACUGGCAGCCUUGAGUACAGUUGAGGUAGGCGGAAUUCGUGGUGUAGCGGUGAAAUGCUUAGAUAUCACGAAGAACUCCGAUUGCGAAGGCAGCUUACUAAACUGCCACUGACAUUGAUGCUCGAAAGUGUGGGUAUCAAACAGGAUUAGAUACCCGUGUAGUC